GACAGAGCAUUUGACAACACAUGCCUUGGCUUUAGCAAAACAUUUUAACGAUGAAUGUUUUAAUACUGUAUACAUGAAAUCUUACGACAAUAAGUUAAUCAUUCUCCUUUCCAUUCAUGCCACUAAUUGCUUUGCAAAAUGCCGUGAUUCUGCUGGUUGUUGCUAAUGUAUGGACCCACUAUUGACCCGUUUCAUGAAUGGCAAGAUGGCCGCCGUUGUUGAAAAUUCAUACGACGUAAAUAUCAAUUGUUCUUUUUUUCCUCUGUAAAGUUGCCAAAAAAUGUGUUGUACGUGCUUAACAUCAUUGAAGGAUAUAUUUAUGCCGACAUCAUAUCGUAAUGACAUAUGUCUGAUACUAAUAAGUCAGAGUCUCAGGAUUGGGAAGAGUUUGACUCGGAGUCUGACAGUGAGCGUGUAUCACCGCAGCCAGGUCAAUUUACACAGGACCGGUCUGCAAUAGCUGAAAAGUUGAAGCUUCCGCAUCAGAGUACCGCAAGAAGCUGCCGUUUGUGAAUGCGCCCCGAUUGAGGAGAUUGAGGCAAAGAAGCUGAAGGCAGCGGGAGGAAAAGAGAAGAAAUCAGGAAGAAAUCGCCAUAGGCGAUAACUGAAUAUAAGAUUUUUUAAACCAUUGGAUAGGUUGGAUACAGUAUAGUACCAGAAAGGCCGUUUACCAAAAGGCGUUGGCAGGAAACCAUCAACUGGAGAUAUAAAACCGAUUUCCACAAGAACCAGCUUUUAUGCUUUUGAAGCAGAAAUGUUGGCUGCCAAAUGUAGUUGGAGCAGUAGACGGAACUGUAUUUCUAAUUAUAAAACCAGCUGAAUCUGAAGAAGCUGAUGUGUGCAGGAAAGGGUUUAUUAACAUUACUGAGCGGCUGUCAUUGAUGCCAACAUGAGAUGCCUGCAUUGCACUGGUGGAUGCCUGACUUUCCAAGCUAAACGAGUGCUGUGGAACAGCAAAAAUUUGCAUGCGCCUGCUCAACUUGUGCUUUGAAUUAUUCAUUCCGCUGAUAGAGGUAGAAGUUUUGGACAUGAUGGAUCCUGUGGUUACAAACAAUGCACCAGUAAAGAGAGCAGCAGUCAAUGAGAGGCAGCAGCUGAUCGAACUGUUCAGUUGAAAAUGUCGUAAAGUGAUUGGUAUAUAUAGGAUCUGGCACGAGUUGCCAUAUCAUACCAUAUUUUAUUAAACACGUCCAGGAAUUGUGUUAGUAAGCUCGCCUUAUAUGAAAUGCCAACAAGUGUCAUAUCUUUUUUAUCACAUGUUUUUAAAUGAGCAAAUAAAUAUUUAUGCAAACAUAAUGAUAAAUCCCGAAUGUUGUUUACAUUUCGUGAUGUCAUUUGAUGUUGCAACAGGAUUUCAGCAAAAUAACAAAAUGCGUUUGGAAAUCAAACACAAAUCUAAGCCAAUGAAAACGCUUAAAAAUUAUAUAACACAUGUGUAAGAUAAAAAUAUUUGUAAUGGUUAUAUUACAUGGGGAACAGGGUAUGGCAUGUGAUAAAAAUAUUUAAAGUGAUAUAUUGCCGUAAAUUUUAUAUUUUCCAAAUAAGAAGAGCUAUAUUACACGCCCAAAUAUCAGUUUUUGCUUCCUCAUGCUUUAGUUCCAGUAAACAUCCAAUAACGGGAUAUAAGUUUGCGAAAGAAAGUGUAAUUAAAUAUUCUUCAUAAUUAUCCGAGCUGCAGAAAAGAAGGUACUUCUUCCUAUUAACGUGAUUUCAAGUGAUUUUUCUUAACAAACUGACCAUUGGCUCUAAUGGGUAUUGGAGAUCAGUACUGAGAAUUUUCAAAGUGAAAUUAACAUGAAGGCUUUUAAAUGUAUGUUUAUUAAAUUAUAGAGAGUGUAGAGUAUAUAAACAUGGAUAUUAUUGUCAUAUUAGAAGCUUGGUAAAUGAACAAUUACAUAUAUUUGCUAAAUGUUAUAAUUCAUGUACUGAAAGACAUCCUUGAUAUGAUGCUUUGUUAAAGAAUACAGUCUUUAGUUACCCUAAAAACUAUUAUUUAUGUUAAAACUGUUAUUGACUGGUGCAAUUUGUUUAGUAAUUUUAUAAACAUAUUUAUGAUUAUAACAUUUAGUU